rnacentral:lncRNA from 1 species
GCUAUACUUGUGGAGUUCGACAUGGACUCACUCUUGCUAUUUCCCCCAUACUUCAGGAGGAGUGUAGGCCUGUGAUCAACCAGUCAAUUUGGAUCCUGUAGAGUGGACUUAAUACUCAAAGUUUAGAGUUACUUACAUUGUUUGCUACUUAAGGUUAUCUCUGAUCUAUUAUGUACGUAUUAUAUUUAUGCAUUGUCUUUUGAUAUUACCCUUUAUUUGUAGCUAUAUGUGAGAUUUGACUUCUAAGACUCACAUAUGGUGCAUAUCUGGUUUUAUCCUUAAAAUCGGGUAUUACAAUUAUAAAGUCAAACAAUGGAUCUAAAGAGAAUCAAGUCAUAUGAUCAAACUAGGAUGUGCACAUGUGUGGAAUAUGGUGGAUAAGUGUAUGUGUGGUGGCUAAUUCUAAUUCUACUUUUGCUCUUCAGAAUGAAUCUCUCUUCUUUCUUAGAUUUUCUGAACUUCUCAGGAAAACAUGGGCUAUCUUUAUUCUUUCUCUCUUUCUCUUCUUUCUCUUUUUUUCUUUCUCCUUUUUAGCCACAUGCAUCCUUAGAUACCAAAAUUGAUUGAAGAGAUAACAAUAAAGAACUUAGAGCAAAUAAAGGC